UGUCAGCAAGGGCCAUUUUGUUGCUCGUUUCCUGCUUCUUCUUCUUUUCAGUAUUGGGGUGCAUUUAGUAGUCUGAGGAGCAUUGCUGGGCACAAGAAGGGUACAAGGAUUGGAGACCCCACAGAGCAAAGCAAAGUGUUUUUUUCACUUUUUCGGGGGGGUCAGUUUCCUGCCAUUUUCCACCUCUUUUCUUAAUAAAACAAGCAUUUUUAAGCAAUUUUUUUCAGUUUGGGGGACAUUUAGCAGUUGGGGGGCAUUGCUGAGCACAAGGAGAACCCAUGGAGCACACUACAGUAGGUUUUUUUCGCUGGUUUUUUGCUUGCUUGCUUGCUUGCUUGCUUGCUUUGGUUGUUUCUUGGCUUCUUUACAACUUUUUUGAGCAUUCUGGAAUCUAACCCACCUUUCCCCAUAGAAAUAAUGCCUCAUUCCUUGCAGUGGUAUGUGAGGAACGGAACCCAUGAAAACCUUGUUAUCUGCGUAUUCGUGUACCCACGGUCAGAAAAAGACACCCGACCCCAGCAUAUGCAUGGAGAAAGAGAAGAAAAACUUCAGUCUUGCCUAUCCAUGGGUCGGGAAUGGCCAGAAAUGACCACGGAGGUCAUUUCUGGCCGUCAUUUUGUUUCUCAGAGCCACAAAAUGGCUUUGUUUAAGGGGGAACCCCCCACAAACCUAGUGAUUUUCAGUCAAUUUGGGGGCAUUCCGGGGCACAGUGCAACUCAAAAGGAGCAGCAAAGCAUGAUUAAAGUCAGCCAAGCAUUUCUGACAUAAGAACUUUGGAUAAGGAGCAACCUCCCAGCAAACACUUUCCAUUGUAACACUGGGAUGUCAUGACUGACUUUUUGCAGUUUCUAUGGCAACCAGAAUUUUUGAUCUGUAAAGGAUAUCGCAGCAUGUGAUCAUUUUUCUUUGCAACAGAAAAAUGUUGAGGAAUCAAAGAAAAUGAAAGAGGACACUGUAAUCUUUAAAUAUUAACCACAAGUAUUCUAAAUUGCAGGAUCACAACAUGCACAUGACUCUCUGUUCACAAAGUAGGUAACCUCUGUUUAAUUCUUCACUUAGUAGAAGGAGCUUGUGGCAAAUAUGUGCUGGUCUAUUGCACUUCUGCCACCAAAUCGUCAACACUAUUUUUAGUUUUCCAGUAGUAGUUAAAAUAUGCAAUUGUAAGAACAAUUACUGGUACUAUAUAGAAAAGACUAUGUCUCUUAAGGCUAGACAAUCAUUCAAAGUGUGAUACAGUCUCCAGUUUGGGACUUAGGGAUGGAUUGAAACCUCCCUGUCAUUUCUGCCACUGUUUUCAUGAGCAGCAAAAUGCCAGAGUUUGGUUUUUACACUUUUUUAUGGAAGGUCAUGAAAAACAGUUGCAAUUUUGAGGCAGGGUGCUUACCCAAUGCUCCAGUGUGGUAUAAUGUUGCUUUUAAACUUGAAAAAGCUGCUGCCUCAUAUUAUCUAUAAAUAGUUCCUACAAUUGGAGAGAAAAUCUUAUGCUACCAGCUCUGAGGAGUAGCUUUCCAACUACACUGGAGAAUUCGCUCUGGUCGAUAUACUGUACUCAAGCAGCUAGUAAUACAGCCUCUACUUUGGAACAGUGCCACUGAUAAAGGCCUGACUCUGGUUGAAUUGCGUUUGGAAAUUUUUGAACACAGCAUCUAAUAGGAUCUUUGCAUAUACAAUUGGGCUAUAUCAUUGGAUCAUCCUCAGACUUGUGUAUUGAGUAUGGGUUCCUGUUGGAUAGACAUUGGCACAUUUUAAUUGUUUCUUUGAUAUAGAUUAAUUUUUAAAUUUUGUACUUUGUGAAUAUAUUAUUUUUAUGAUUGUUGAAUAUGAAUAACAAAAGUUAUAAAUUUGUUGGACUGUUCUUAUUUUAUUAGGAUCAUUUUAUUUGGACAAUAUAACUUGAAAAUGUAUUGCCUUGGGUUAUUUUGUAAAUUGGCUGGUUAUGUGUGAACCCAGUUACAGAUCUUUUUCUGUUUCCUGUAUAUUUCCCCCAAUCACAUGCUGCCACAAAAUCUUUAAUCAGCCUUAUCAUAUUGUUCCACCUCUGAUGGCUUAUGAAAAAAACCCUAUUAAAACAAUUGAAAAGAACCUAAGAACAGCCCUGCUGGAUCACUCCAAAGGCCUAUCUAGUCCAGCAUCCUAGGUGGCCCACACAGUGGCCCACCAGAUGCCUCUGGGAAGCUCACAGGCAAUAGCUGAGGGCCUACCCUCUCUCCUGAUGUUGCUCGCCUGCAACUGGUAUUGAAAGACAUCGUGCCUCGGAGCAUGGAGGUGGCUUAUAGCCAGCAGACUAAUAGCCAUUGAUAAUAAGAACAUAGCAAUGUUAAUAAUAACAUAGAUAAAAAUGAUAAUAAGAACACAUACAAUUGUUUGUGUGUAUGUAUUGUGUAUUAAUAGGGUUACUUUUAAAGUCUAUAAAAUGUAGUGGGGAAUAAUCAUAUCUAUUUCCAAAAGAACUGGAAAUGUUAUGAACUGUAUAGACGGAAUGCCUUCAAACCAGUAGGAGAUACUGGCAGACUCAGGUAAUCCACAGAUAUGUCAGUGUUCAAACAAUCUGAAUGGGGUAAAAACCCUAAGGGGACUAACUCCCCCUCAAAUGUCCCCAUGGAGACGGAGACAGAAUGUUCAUGGGCUCAGAGUGCAGUUAACAGUUAUAAACAAAACAAACAAACAAAGAGGGGAAAGUAUGCAUCCUCAGCGCCUCAGAUAUUGCUGUCUUAUCUGAUUUAACUCUGAUAGUCUGACUUCUUGUGUUA